rnacentral:rRNA from 1 species
UACGUAGGGAGCAAGCGUUGUCCGGAAUCAUUGGGCGUAAAGCGCGCGUAGGUGGCCCCAUAAGUCCGCUGUGAAAGUCAAAGGCUCAACCUUUGAAAGCCGAUGGAUACUGCGGAGCUAGAGUACGGAAGAGGCGAGUGGAAUUCCUGGUGUAGCGGUGGAAUGCGCAGAUAUCAGGAGGAACACCAAUAGCGAAGGCAGCUCGCUGGGACGUUACUGACACUGAGGCGCGAAAGCGUGGGGAGCGAAUGGG